GCGAGAACCAGCAGAGGAAGCCAGCCGGAGUCGCCAGUGAGAUCACAGAACAACCUGGAGAAUUUGGUGUCCCGGAAGCCGAGAGAAAAGCAGCCCGAACGAACUAAGAUAGAAAAGAGAAACCUAAAACUGUCAAAAGAGGUUAUCUCUGGGAGGAACAUUGUGUUGCAUCACGAAGGGGAUAUCAGGGAAAUGAAGACCAAGACAAUAAAAUCAGGCAACUACAAUCUCAGCUAGAGUUACGAGUUAAUGAAGACAGGGGAGAACCGACCAGCUUGAAGCAUCUACUCUUCCGAUCCUUCACCAUCCUCCCUGGCCAUUCACUUACAAGUUACACGUCCAGGCUGGACCUUGCCCUUGAACUCCAGGCUCGGACAGACAAGUGUCUACUCUAACUCUCCCUGGAUGUGAAUAGGCAUCUCCAACAAAAUGUCUUCAAUCACACCCCUGAUAGUCCCCUUAAACCCUGUUCUUUUUGCAGCCUUCCCCAUUGGAGCAAGUGAUAACUCUACGUUUCAAGUUACUGAUUCCAAGUCUAUGUUAUCUGGA